GGACUCGGACAUUGUGACCCCGUACGAGAAAUUCGUGCUUUUCGACCCGCUGGUGAAGAGCAUUAAGCGUGACUACGACUACACCCAGAACAAGACCAAGAUGGUGGCGUGGUUUGUCUCCGACUGCUGUACAUCCAACCGGCGCCUCGACUACGCACACGAGUUGCAGAAGUACAUACAGGCACAGCAUUGUCCCCGU
rnacentral:lncRNA from 1 species